UCUGGUGACAAUGGCAAGGAGGUCACACCUGUUCCCAUGCCGAACACAGAAGUUAAGCUCCUUAGCGCCGAUGGUAGUUGGAUUUACG
rnacentral:rRNA from 1 species